rnacentral:rRNA from 1 species
UACGUAGGGUGCAAGCGUUGUCCGGAAUUAUUGGGCGUAAAGAGCUCGUAGGCGGUCUGUCGCGUCUGCUGUGAAAACUCGGGGCUUAACCCCGGGCCUGCAGCCGAUACGGGCGGGCUAGGAUUCGGUAGGGGAGACUGGAAUUCCUGGUGUAGCGGUGAAAUGCGCAGAUAUCAGGAGGAACACCGGUGGCGAAGGCGGGUCUCUGGGCCGAUAUCGACGCUGAGGAGCGAAAGCGUGGGGAGCGAACAGG